UACGUAGGGACCAAGCGUUGUUCGGAUUUACUGGGCGUAAAGGGUGUGUAGGCGGUUUUCUAAGUUUGGUGUGAAAUCUCCCGGCUUAACCGGGAGGGUGCGCCGAAAACUGGGAGACUAGAGUGCGGGAUGGGAGAGUAGAAUUCCUGGUGUAGCGGUGAAAUGCGUAGAUAUCAGGAGGAACGCCAAUUGCGAAGGCAGCUCGCUGGGACGUUACUGACGCUGAGACGCGAAAGCGUGGGGAGCAAACAGG
rnacentral:rRNA from 1 species